AUUCUGAAAGAUAAAUAUAUUACUGGUUCCCUGGCACUUACCUGCCAGAUACAAAGUCGUAUAAGCAGGAACAAUAACACUUGUCUUUGGUGUAAAGAACAACUGCAUGCAUGGCCUGCUUUUACUUGAGGCCAGGAGCAAAACUGUUUAUGGCAUCCCGUGGUGCUGCGGGAUUUUGCUGUGUUUUUUUUUUAAAUGUCCCGCCCCGGCCUACGCGCUUAGGACUGACGGCGCACUGCACACACAGCGUCCCCCUGCAUCCCCUGCGUCCCCCUCUCCCUUGUGGCAUAGUGAGCCGAAAAUGGUGCCCUGGGGCGGAACGAGCUGCAUCUGCGCCGGACUCCCGUGCUUGCCGUGGGACUGCAAGCUGCACGGGCCGGCUUGCUUAAGGUUUAACGGUGAAGAAUUGUGUGUGGAAGAAAUCGUGAUGAUGGCCCGGACCAGAUGGAGAAGAGAAGGCAAUGAUGCAAAUUAGAGAAGACAUAAUUUUUACGUUCACAUUGCUGCUAAUGGGGGCUCCAUCGGGAAAGAACAUGAGUUGAAAGGAGAUAAAAAUACUGCAUGUCCUAUUUUUUUUCCUGCUUAAUUCCACUAUAAUACUGAAACACCUGAUGAACCCCAUUAAAGUCAAUGGGAUCAAUCGGGACCUGGCAGUGUCCGUUGUGCUUCAAAAAGAAGAGCAGUCUGGGAGUGCCCCAAGUGAAUGGAGGAGUAAACCUGCAUAUCCACCACGUCAUACACUGUUCAUAGGACCAGACCAUGCUGAUGUGCUUGGCUAUCACCUUCAGGGCCAUUGGUGGUGAAUUGAUCAGUGGUCCCGCAGGUACACUACCACUCCAUUCACAGGAGGCAAGAGAACGCGCCAUGUGAAUAGCGUGGUAGAACGUCUAUAUGACCAGAAAUUCUUUUACCGCCAAUGGCAUUAAGAAGACAUCGGAGCACAGCACAUGGCUAUCGCUAUUGCCUUCUGUACCAUUCUAGA